rnacentral:lncRNA from 1 species
GAUAAACUCUGGUACAGAUUUUAAAUUAUUAUUCUAAGUACAAUAAAGUGGACCAUUAAUUCUUAUUGACAUCUGAUUAACACAAGUAUUAAUUGCAAGGCAUUGUCAUAUUGUGGUAAACUAUAUAUGACACAUGUGGUCAUUAGUCUCUGAAGAUGGACCCUUCCAACAACCCAUGCUUUGCAGUAAUUAGAUCUUGUGUAGAUGCACUAUUUAUCUCAAGAUGGAGUCAUAAAACACCAUGAAGUUUCUACAUGGGUCUCUUGGAAUAUGUGUUAAGGCAAGCACUAGUCACCAUGCAAAAAGUCUAUCUUGAGACGUCCAUGCUGUAAGGGAGCCCAAAAUAUCUAAUCACGUAGAGAAACUUUAUGGAAAAAGAAAAAUGCCCUGACAACCCCAGCUGUUGCAGGCAUCCCAUGUGAGGCAACUGACAUGUGAAUUAGGAGGCCAUGAUGAACUUCCAGCCCUGUUAACCUUCAGGUGACACUAGCUCCAUCUGCCAUCAUCACCACGUUGACUAAAUAUAAUUAAAUGGGUUAAAGGAGAAGUGUGAACUCUAUGUAUA